GAUGAACGCUGGCGGCGUGCCUAAUACAUGCAAGUCGAACGAAACUUCUUUAUCACCGAGUGCUUGCACUCACCGAUAAAGAGUUGAGUGGCGAACGGGUGAGUAACACGUGGGCAACCUGCCCAAAAGAGGGGGAUAACACUUGGAAACAGGUGCUAAUACCGCAUAACCAUAGUUACCGCAUGGUACCUAUGUAAAAGGUGGCUAUACUACCGCUUUUGGAUGGGCCCGCGGCGCAUUAGCUAGUUGGUCGGGUAAAGGCUUACCAAGGCAAUGAUGCGUAGCCGAAUUGAGAGGUUGAUCGGCCACAUUGGGACUGAGACACGGCCCAAACUCCUACGGGAGGCAGCAGUAGGGAAUCUUCCACAAUGGGCGAAAGCCUGAUGGAGCAACGCCGCGUGGGUGAAGAAGGUCUUCGGAUCGUAAAACCCUGUUGUUAGAGAAGAAAGUGCGUGAGAGUAACUGUUCACGUUUCGACGGUAUCUAACCAGAAAGCCACGGCUAACUACGUG
rnacentral:rRNA from 1 species